GGCAAUAACUAUCAGUAUGAAGUUGACUAUUAUUCUUGUUGUUUUGGGAUUGUUUUCCCUCUAUUGUGGCUGCGAUGCAUCCACGGGGUUCAUUGAUCAUUGCAAUGACAGUAAUGGGCAUCAGCAUCAACCAGGAGAAACAUUUUAUUUGAACAGAUGCACGAAAUGCCAUUGCAUGGGAACAGGAGUGCCGGGCGGUAGAGGUGCUAGUUGUCAAUCAGUAUUUUGCUGAUAGAGACUCGUUUGAUGAGUAAGAUGAAUGACAAACAUGGGGAAAUUAAACCAGAAAAAAAACAGAAAAUUAAGAAACCAGACUUUUUUUUUGUCAUUUAUCAUAUAAAAUUUUAAAAUAAAUGUCGUAAAUAAACUGAUGAACAGAA